rnacentral:rRNA from 14 species
AGAAAACAAUAGUGAUUCCCAAAGUAGCGGCGAGCGAAAUGGGAACAGCCCAAACCAGUGUUGUUUCGGCAAUACUGGGGUUGUAGGACUGCGAUAUCUUAACAAAAAUGAACGAGAAUGAUCUGGGAAGAUCAGCCAUAGAAGGUGAAAGCCCUGUAUUGGUAAGUUUUUGAGCGGUAGCAGUAUCCUGAGUAGGGCGGGGCAGGUGAAACCCCGUUCGAAUCUACCGGCACCAUCCGGUAAGGCUAAAUACUCCUGAGAGACCGAUAGUGAACCAGUACCGUGAGGGAAAGGUGAAAAGCACCCCGACGAGGGGAGUGAAACAGUACCUGAAACCGAACGCCUACAAUCAGUUGGAGGGUCCUUGAGACCUGACAGCGUACCUUUUGUAUAAUGGGUCAUCGACUUAGUGUAUCUAGCAAGCUUAAGCCGUUAGGUGUAGGCGCAGCGAAAGCGAGUCUUAAUAGGGCGUUGAGUUUGUGGGAUCAGACCCGAAACCGAGUGAUCUAGGCAUGGCCAGGUUGAAGAUAAGGUAACACUUAUUGGAGGACCGAACCCACAUCCGUUGAAAAGGAUCGGGAUGAGCUGUGCCUAGGGGUGAAAGGCCAAUCAAACUCGGAGAUAGCUGGUUCUCUGCGAAAUCUAUUUAGGUAGAGCGUCAUCCGAAUACCCUCGGGGGUAGAGCACUGGAUGGGUAAUGGGGCCCCACAGGCUUACUGAUCCUAACCAAACUCCGAAUACCGAGGAGUACUAGAUGGCAGACACACGGCGAAUGCUAACGUCCGUCGUGAAGAGGGAAACAACCCAGACCGCCAGCUAAGGUCCCAAAGUCAUAGUUAAGUGGGAAACGAUGUGGAAAGGCCCAGACAGCCAGGAGGUUGGCUUAGAAGCAGCCAUCCUUUAAAGAA